UGGUAAUGCAUAGGAAUCUACCUAGUAGUAUGGGAUAGCCCUAGAAAUGGUGGGUAAUACUGUAUAAUCCCUGCGGGGGAAAGAUUUAUCGCUAUUAGAUGAGCCUAUGUUAGAUUAGCUAGUUGGUAGGGUAAAGGCCUACCAAGGCGAUGAUCUAUAGCUGGUCUGAGAGGAUGAUCAGCCACACUGGAACUGAGAUACGGUCCAGACUCCUACGGGAGGCAGCAGUGGGGAAUAUUGGACAAUGGGCGCAAGCCUGAUCCAGCUAUGCCGCGUGAGUGAGGAAGGCCUUAGGGUUGUAAAACUCUUUCAGUAGGGAAGAUAAUGACGGUACCUACAGAAGAAGUCCCGGCAAACUCCGUGCCAGCAGCCGCGGUAAUACGGAGGGGGCAAGCGUUGUUCGGAAUUAUUGGGCGUAAAGGGCAUGUAGGCGGUUCGGUAAGUUAAAGGUGAAAUGCCAGGGCUUAACCCUGGAGCUGCUUUUAAA
rnacentral:rRNA from 1 species